GCAACUCAAAGAGCUUCCCAGUGUGGAUGGACCUCACCGGGCUGAGAUCCCAGAGUGUACAGCAGUAAAAGGAGCUGUCCAAAAUGGCGGCUCCUGUCAAAAUGGUGGCACCAUAGCAUCUCCUCAGCCUGCUGCCUUCACAGGAGCUAUCUAAGAUGGCCCACCACCUCCUUUCCUGCCUCCGAUGUAGCUGGCCCUCAAGAGCUGUCCUCAGUGGUGACCUUUCCUGCUUCAGCCUACUACCAACAUGAGAUAUCCGUGGUGGAGAGGCGGCGCCAUCUUCGGCUCCAGACAACCGGCCACCUUCCUGGCGAGAGCCACAGAGCUUCUGAGGCAGCGCCAUCUUCAGCUCCAGACAACCGGCCACCUUCCUGGCGAGAGCCACAGAGCUUCUGAGGCAGCGCCAUCUUCAGCUCCAGACAACCGGCCACCUUCCUGGCGAGAGCCACAGAGCUUCUGAGGCGGCGCCAUCUUCGGCUCCAGAAAACCGGCCACCUUCCUGUAUAUGUCCUACAGUGUUGAACAAAACACAAGAAGAAGAUAUUUGGGGCCAUGAAUAACUCAAGGACCCAGCCAGAUCUCAACAGUGGCACCUGCCCAACCUGCCAUUGUGCAAGUUUCUGCCACAUACUUUGAGAAGACACCUUCAAAGCUUAACAGGAGACCCUUUCAUCCUUACUUUAGAUGAACCUGAUAUUCUCAACCUGAGUGCUCUGGAUCUCAUCAUCCUGUAUAAAUCAUAAAUAAGUGCAGUACCAACAGAGGCCAGAAGAGGUUUCAAAUCUCUUGGAGCUACUGUUACAGGCUGUGGCAGGAGCUAUAUAGUCCAUUCUGGUCUCUAACUCCCCAUGUAGCUGAAGUUGACUCUAAACUUCUGAUUCCUGCCUUCACAGAUGAGGAUUGCGAUUAUGGGUAUGUAACACCAAUCCUAGUUUAUGUAGGAAUCAAACCCAGGGCUGUCUGCAUACUACUAGCAAGCAUUUUCCUAACCAAAUUCAAUGCCUCUGUUAAAUGUCUUCCUCACCCCAGAAAGAAAAUGAAGUCCCAAAACAAACAUAACCUUUUCCCAUUCUAUGAUGCUCACUUUCAGCACAUCAGGAUCUGUGGAUUCCCAGUGUGCUCUGCAUCCAGUGGGCUGUUUAGCAGAUGCAGUAUAUUGGCUCCCUUUGCUAUAUCCUGUUUUCAGUAAAUUUGAGACAAAACACACCAGAAAUACUCUGAAAAUGAAGUCUGUUGACUGAGUGUCUUGGUGAUGGAGAAGGCACCCUGAUAAAAUGGUCUUGGGAUUUACCUGUAAGCCCUUGAUAUGUGCCAUCAGGUUUAGGGUAGAGCUUACAAUGGGGAUUUGUUCUGGGCUUUGUGGUCAUGAAGUGUGGAUAAGUCCAUGACUGCUAAGCUGUAUGUGGAAGAUGGAGGCAGAGAUGGGUUAGGCUGUGACUGACAGCGGGAAUGCCACCAUUCCUAUCAUCAAGGACAGUGGCAUUUGACCAUAAUUUUGCAUGGCUUGGGUCACCUUCAUAUUUUGCCAAUGUUUACACAGGACCCUUCUAUAAGGGAUCUUUCCUUUAUCCAAACACAUCAGUGCCAUAGGGUGGCCUUGUCUUGUACUGAUCAUUAACAGUAAUCACUGAGACCUCUCUAUAAACAUCAAGCCAGAUUAAUUAUAUAUAACCACACACAAAGCAACCUAAGCGCAGAAAGAUGUUACAGCAGCAGAGGCCAGAGUUCUUUCUCAAUAAACAGAUACAA
rnacentral:lncRNA from 1 species